GAACUACUCUCUUUGUCCAGAAAAGCUUGUCUCAGACUUGUUCUUUAAAUAGAUGUAUGUAGCACUAACUUGAUACUAGAUACAUUCAUUUGAGAGACAAGCUUUUUUGGACGGAGGAAAUACUAU
rnacentral:pre_miRNA from 1 species